UCCGGUUGAUCCUGCCGGAAGCCACUGCUAUGGGGGUCCGACUAAGCCAUGCGAGUCAUGGGGCGCCUUGCGCGCACCGGCGGACGGCUCAGUAACACGUCGGUAACCUACCCUCGGGAGGGGGAUAACCCCGGGAAACUGGGGCUAAUCCCCCGUAGGCCUGAGGUACUGGAAGGUCCUCAGGCCGAAAGGGUCUUUGACCGCCCGAGGAUGGGCCGGCGGCCGAUUAGGUAGUUGGUGGGGUAACGGCCCACCAAGCCGAAGAUCGGUACGGGCCAUGAGAGUGGGAGCCCGGAGAUGGACACUGAGACACGGGUCCAGGCCCUACGGGGCGCAGCAGGCGCGAAACCUCCGCAAUGCUCGAAAGAGCGACUGGGGGACCCCCAGUGCCGUGGCAUCGCCACGGCUUUUCCGGAGUGUAAAGAGCUCCGGGAAUAAGGGCUGGGCAGGGCCGGUGGCAGCCGCCGCGGUAAUACCGGCGGCCCGAGUGGUGGCCGCUAUUAUUGGGCCUAAAGCGUCCGUAGCCGGGCCAGUAAGUCCCUGGCGAAAUCCCACGGCUC
rnacentral:rRNA from 1 species